rnacentral:lncRNA from 1 species
GAGAGUUGAAAGAGACUCUCCCGGAAUAACCUUGCAGUCCUUGCACAUACCCCUAUCGCUCCUUCUGAUGAGGAUGUAAUCAAUCUGAGUCCUCGCCGCGGAACUCUUGAAGGUGACCAAAUGCUCCUCCCUCUUCCGGAAUGUCGAUUUCGCAAUCAGAAGCUCGGAAGCUCUGGCGAAAUCAAGCAGCAAAGUGCCUCCUCCGUUCCUGGCCCCAAAGCCGAAGCCACUAUGCACCUCAUCAUAGCCAUCAGCCUCAACCCCAAUAUGGCCAUUAAAGUCCCCUCCAAUAACUAACUUCUCAGAUUGGGGAANNN